GACGAACGCUGGCGGCGUGCUUAACACAUGCAAGUCGAACGGAAAGGCCCCUUUGGGGGUCCUCGAGUGGCGAACGGGUGCGUAACACGUGAGUAACCUGCCCUUGACUUCGGGAUAACUUCAGGAAACUGGGGCUAAUACCGGAUAGGAAUCCUUGCUGCAUGGUGGGGGUUGGAAAGCUUCGGCGGUUUUGGAUGGACUCGCGGCUUAUUAGCUUGUUGGUGGGGUAGUGGCUUACCAAGGCUUUGACGGGUAGCCGGCCUGAGAGGGCGACCGGCCACAUUGGGACUGAGAUACGGCCCAGACUCCUACGGGAGGAAGCAGGGGGGAAGAUUGCACAAUGGGCGGAAGCCGGAUGCAGCAACGCCGCGGGCGGGAUGACGGCCUUCGGGUUGUAAACCGCUUUCAGCAGGGGCGAAGCUUGUGGUGACGGUACCUGCAGAAGAAGCACCGGCUAACUACGUG
rnacentral:rRNA from 1 species